GCCGUGCAGGCCGCCCGCCACCGGCCCCGGAACCGGAACGGGAACACGCACGGCGCCCCGAAGGCGUUCCCCAGCAGCGUGAAGGUCUCUGGGAGGAAAAAAUGACAGCUGACCAUUCAUCUCAUACAGAGAAGCAGCUUCCCACAUGCACGUCUAAGAGUUCAGUGCUCAGAUAACCUGUGAGGUGGCUUUUAGAGCAUUCAUUCUGGAUGUGGGAAAGACAUUCAAAUCAGACUUCAGCUAAUCAAAAAAGCAAAACCUGGGUGGUGAGAGCUGCUGGAGAUAAAGUCCUGCUGCAGAGAGGACAGUGGCUGGUCCUGCUCGGUUCUGCAGAAACAAUACAGUGUGAGGCCAGUGCCAGCCAGCAGAACAAAGAUCAGCAUGAAAAUCAACCCACCUAAACUACUGGAUGAUGAAGC